ACAUGGUUGCUCGCCAAACAACUACGAGUGAAAACUUAAAACUUAAAGGACUUGACGGUACUUCACCCAACCUAGAGGAGCCUGUCUACUAACCGAUAAUCCACGAUUAACCCAACCACUCCUGGCCACCCAGCCUAUAUACCGCCGUCGCCAGCCCACCUUGUGAAAGAAACCAAGUGGGCCAAACAGUAAUCCACUAACACGACAGGUCGAGGUGUAGCUUAUGAAGUGGAAAAAGAUGGGCUACAUUUUCUAACACAGACAAAACGGACAAAGUUAUGAAAUUAACCCAAAAGGCGGAUUUAGCAGUAAGCUAAGGACACAAUACUAAGCUGAAACCAAUGCAAUGAAGUGCGUACACACCGCCGGUCACCCUCCA
rnacentral:rRNA from 1 species